CUACAAGCUAUGAUUUAGGAUAUGUUUUUAUAUAAGUAUUGUUUAGAGAGGAAACGGUUGCUGAAAGUUUCUCAAUCUUUAUAAAGAUACUCCCUAAUGAGCUACACUCGAAAGAGAAUGUCGUUGGGUCGCGUUAAGACAAUAGAGGUUAUCGAAAGAUAAUAAAUUAAGGUGGUACCACGAGAUUUCGUCCUUUGC
rnacentral:ncRNA from 1 species